ensembl:misc_RNA 7SK 7SK RNA
CGAUGUGAGCGCAAUCUGGCUACAUCUGUCACCCAUUUAUUGCCGGGGUUGAUUUGGCCGCUCUGGCUGGCUAGGUGGCAUGUCCCAUUCCUCCCUCACUACUCCACAUGGGUCCCUCCUGAAGGUGCGUGAUGGGUGGACCAAGACAACCUUUCCUGAUAGAGGAAGACUGUUCAUCAGGGAAGGAUAUGUGAGUAGCCCUGCCCUCCUGCUAGAACCUCCAAAGGUUCUUAGGAAAUGCAACUUCAAUAUAAAAACACAAAUAGGUUAAAAGAUGGAAAAAGAAAUAACAGGCUAACACAAAUCAAAAGAAAGCUGAAGUACCUGUAUUACUAAAAUAUAGAUUUC